GAGCUGAUACCCACUUAUUUGUGAAGUGGAGACGGCAAGGAUGAUCUUCAGGGGCCCUGGUGACAGCCAGGUCAGAGCAAAGACCUAGGUGUUUAAUCUACCAUACCCAUGGUUUCUCCUUCAGCCUUUACUCCUAAAAGGUUGGGUUAAAAGCUAUGAGACUGUCUGGUUCCAGCCAAUGACUUCUUCAAGAAGCUAAGCCAGGUAAGUCAGAGAUGGACGCUGUUGGCAGAAGCCAGGAGCGAAUACUGCUUACUUCCACUGUGGGAUUCAGAGUCUGUUUAAUCUGUCUCCAGACAGAACUGAGAAGCACAGAUCCUUGAAAAAAGAGUUGUGUAAGGAAGAGCUGUGGGGAAUUCAGAAAACUGGGAUAGCCCUGGAGAAGAGAAAGGCUCGACUGGGUUUUGCAGUGGGACUAGCCUCUUUCUGAGACUUGCGGUGUUCACUGGUCUGCGUUGCUUUGGUUAGUACUCAACUCUGGGUAAGCCCGACAGAGAGCAGGAGUGUGCUUUAUAUAUGUAAGACAGUCUUCAUAGAGGAUGCAGGGCCAGUGGCAUCUCCCUGGCAGACAUCUCCCUGAGUUAAGCCAAGAGGAGUGCCAGCAAGGGCCACCCGGGGAGGCCAGGGAACCCUUCAAGAAUCAGGUAAGAAAUCUGCCUGCCUUUGCCUUCUGAGUGCUGGGAUCAAAGGUAUACACCACCAUGCCUGGCCUUUUGUUUUAUUUUUUUCUGUCUAUGUAUGUAUCUAUGUAUCAAUGUAUCCAUCAAUGUAUCUAUCUAUCUAUGUAUCUAUCUACAUAUCUAUCUAUGUAUCUAUCAAUGUAUCUAUCUAUCUAUCUAUCUAUCUAUCUAUCUAUCUAUCUAUCUAUCUAUGUUUUAUCUAUGUAUCUAUCAAUGUAUAUAUAUUUAUAUCAUGUAUGUAUGUAUGUUGGGCAUCCUCUGUAGUUAACAUUAACGAAUGUUCUGCAACCCAGGAGUUCUUUGUCUUAUUCACACUGGGAGAUGGGGAGGGGUGCGUGCAUGAGGAUGCUCAGGGUAGGCUGUUAGUUGGUGCUGGAGGGUGCCCGGGUAUCUGUUAGAGACCGUGUGUAAAUGUGAGGUGCCCACCAGGGACUAAGUAUACUCUUAGCCAUAUGAAUAAAUCUUAAAAAUAAGAGGGGGAAAAGUAAGAACCAUGCACAUCCUGGCUUAGUUUCUUUUCCUGUUGAUAUGAUAAAAUACUCUGACAAAAACAAAUAAAGGAAAAAGUUUAUUUUAGCUUUUUGUUCAAGGCGCACACAGUAAAGAAGCUGAGCGUGAUGAAUGUGAACUGCUUCUCUGCUCGUUUCCCUACAUUAUACACGUCAUAAUCCUCUGCCUAGGGGAUGACUCUGCCCACAGUUGAGAUAGGUCUGCCUGCUACAGUUAACUUAAUCAAGAGUCUGGAAUCCCAGGUGGUUCUAGAUUUUGUCCAGUGUGAACACACACCAUCAAAAUACUAAGAAUGAGGAACAGGUAUAGUAGCCCAUGAUUUUAGUCCAGCAGCACCAAGGGGGGUGAGGCACAGGCCAAGGCAGGUCAGUCUCUGAGUUUAUGUUUAGCCUGGUCUGAAUAGUGAGUUCCAGGCUAGCCAGGGAUACAUAGUGAAACCCUGUCUUUACAAACAAAGUAGUAAGAAUUUUUAAAAAUGCAUUCACUUGGUUUAUAGGAACAUAUAUGUGGUUGUUGUGGGUGGAGGUGAGGAACUGGGAUAAAAUAAUGAUGAAUGAAUUGGGGUAGUAAACUCAGUCCUCUCCCGGGUGGGAGGGGAGGACCAGCCGGUAGCCAAAUUUCUGUGCACUUUGCGCCCUCUGUUGGACAUGAGGGCUACCAGCAAGUGGGUCCUGGAACUGAAGUAAGACCUCGACACCCUGAACACCUAUAGUGGCUGUGUGUCUAUCCCCAAUCCCAACCCCAUCCCCCAACCCCGUCCUGUUUUCCAGUAGAGAUGUAAAGUGAGAGCCAGAAAGCCAGAAUUGGCUGCGGGGGUCGGCUGGGAACAGGGCAGUCUGAGGGAAACAAAACAUCUGGCAGGAUCUUCGAAGGAGAAAGGGAGAAAAAGGAGGGAGAAGGCACUGGAGUGUAACCCUGGAUGUAACCCGGACCAGAGGAGACCAAGGAUUCGGAUACCAGACCACCAGGGACCAAAGUGGAGUAUGGGCCUUGUAGGCACUGAAGAGGAGUGGUUAUGGGUGUAUGGGUGCCGUGGUCACCAUCAGGAAGUCAUAGGCUGCUGUGCUUCCUGACAAAGGCUGGCUAGGAAUGGUCUCAGGUGAGUCUGGGAGGAAGUGGGUGGGAUGCAGAACGGUGUGUCCGAUGUUGGCCACCCCCUCAUAGGGCAUGUGUAUAUUUCUUACUUAUGGCCUGCCAGUCACUGGGUGGACAGCACAGUGUGAUCUAAUGGGAGAGACUCAUCACAGAAAAUGGCAUGCAGGGUCUUGGGUACUUUAGUGACUGAUGUGGGGGGGGGGGCCCAACCCAUUGUGGAUGAUGCCAUCCCUGGGUUGGUGGUCCUGGCUUCUAUAAGAAAGCAGGCUGAGGAAUCCUUGAGGAGCAAGCCAGUAAGCAGCACCCUCUAAGACCUCUGCUUCAGUUCCUGCCUCCUGGAUCCUGCCCUGCUUGAGUUCCUGUCCUGACUUCCUUCAGUGAUGGACUGUGGGGUGGAAGUGUGAACCAAAUAAACGCUUUUGUCUUCAA